rnacentral:rRNA from 1 species
UACGGAGGGGGCUAGCGUUGUUCGGAAUUACUGGGCGUAAAGCGCACGUAGGCGGCUUUGUAAGUUAGAGGUGAAAGCCCGGGGCUCAACUCCGGAAUUGCCUUUAAGACUGCAUCGCUAGAAUUGUGGAGAGGUAAGUGGAAUUCCGAGUGUAGAGGUGAAAUUCGUAGAUAUUCGGAAGAACACCAGUGGCGAAGGCGGCUCACUGGACUGGUAUUGACGCUGAGGUGCGAAAGCGUGGGGAGCAAACAGG